GACGGAGGCUCCGCCCCCCCGGCUCUGUGGGCGGCAGCGGCGGGAAGCGAGCCGGCUGGGAAUCAGCGGGGUUGGAUGAGCAGGUGAUUUGAACAGUCGUUUACGGCAUCACUUUUCUCAUGCAGGACCCUCACUUCUUUCAGAUAGUCGUAAAAUUGCACACAUCCCUAGGGCUGGAAUCUGAAUCUGGAUGUCAUUGCUCCCCACACUUUGGAUAAGACACUUGAAAUCAUGAAGUGAAUUUUAACUGUUUUGUUUAUUGUCUUUUCACUGAUUCACAGACUAUUCUGAGUUGGAAGGGAUCCACAAGGACCCUUAAGUCCAGCUCUUAAGUAAAUGUCCAGUACUGGGAUUGCACCCACCACCUUGGUGUUACUAGCUCCAUGUUCUAACCAACUGCAACUCUGGAAAAUUAACAAAUUUAACUACAAAUAUCCAUGUGUUUUGUCAAUGAACCCACACAUCACCAUGAGAACAUCACAACAUCCCAGCUGUAUGCUGCUCUGCUUGAGGAUUUUGAAGCCCAGAUUGCCUGGUCUGGUGGAAAUAUAUAGGUGCAAGCUGUGCCAUUUCACAAGCCACAUCAAAAGUCAGGUCAAGAGACACCUGGCUCAAUCUGUGAAACUGAUAUGGCAUGUUGAAUUUCAGGCUGCCCUGAAAUGGACCAAGGUAAAAAUGAGCUUUGGAGAUGAAAAGAAUGAAAACAAAGAAAAUCUUACCAAAAAAAAAAUCCCUCUCUUGUUGCCUGUGUGUCAGGUGCCUUAAAAUAAGAGUCCUUGCUGUUGUGAUAUGAGCCCAAACAUAAUCCUCAUGUGUCUCACUCCUGUGAAAUGUUUGGAGAAGUAGCAGCUUAUUUUCAACUUGAGGACCCCUGCAGUGCUGACUUCUCUUCCAUAUUCCAAGAGAAAGGACAGAUAAACCCAGUCUAUGCCUCUUAGCAUCUGUCAUGUUUCCAGUGUUAGAACCCAGACAUUUGCUGGGGAAAUUAAAAACCCCUAAGGCUCAGUUGAGGUGUAAACAUCAUAGGAAAAUCAGUUGAAAAUCCACUUGAAAGCUGGAUCUAAAGGCUCAACUCACCCUAUGGAAGGAAGAUGCUCAUUCCUUGAAGCUGGCUCUGAGAGAAAGCAGCGUUUCUGAAUGUGUGGAAUGUAACACUAGAGCCACAAGAUGCUGAGAAAAUCCAUUUAAAUGGUCAUGAUGUGGAUCAUGGCUUUAAAUGUGUUUAUUGUCACAGGACUGAGUAGAUCUUAAUGGAAAAUCAUUGAAAACCACACAUGUGGAUAAAAGAAACCUUCCAGUGCUUCAUCUGUGAAAGUGCCUUUAUAUCACUUUAUAAAGUACCUGGAAAGUGCACAGAAACAGCCAUCAGAGGAAAUCUCAUCUCAGUACAGAUCAUCUGAAACUGAGCAGAUAAGCAAUUUUCAUGUAGCUUGCUUGGCAUUAUCAGGAUAUGGUUAUGUGCCCACGCAGUGAUUUUACCAAUCCACAGGGUUUCUCUGGUUUUAAGCUACUGCAACAAACUCUGGCUUUUAAGACAGCUAAGGAAUGGAUCAAGGUCUGCAAGCAUCUGUACAAGCAUAGACCUUUCAGAGUUACUGGCUUCAGCUCCAUCACAACAUCCUUACAUGUGUUGGUGGUGUCUUGACUGAACCACGCAGGUGCACACUGGGUUGGAGAGUCAGGUAAGUGUUCAUUUAUGCUUCAAUACAGCAAAUGAAACAAGCAAUAAGAUUCUCAAAUAUUUUUUAAUCUGUACGUGGUCACAAAACAGGCAAUUUAUCUUCCCUUUUCUCUUAGUCACUAGAGACUUCAGAAUCCAGCAGUAUUUUUAAUCUAUUGCUUGCUGUGUCAUCACAUUAAAAGGAGUGGGCAAUUUAAUAAAUAAGGCUUGGUGACACUGGGUGAGGAAAAAGUCUUUACAUUUUUUUUUCUGUAAACAGCUGAUGAAAUGUCUCACGUGAUCAGGUUCUGCUUUUUACAAAUUAUCUUCAGAGUUGGUAAUUCUGUUUUGCAAUGGAUUUAUUUAUAUAACAGUUAACAGCAGCUUUUAUAUCUUGUUUGUAAGCUUUUGGGGGGGUGGUGAAAAGACAUUUUUUGGUAUUUUGGUAGUUUGUUGCUUGUACAAAAUCAGUAAUAUACAAACUAUGUCAUCAGAAAAAAAAAUUAGUCAAAUUAAGUUAUUCUUUGCCAAAUGAUACUUGCAUGGUUGAAAGUAUUUCAUUUAGUCUGAAACAAGCACUGGUUAUCUUCUCAAUCUAAUGAGCUUUUUUUCCCCCUAAUUUUACAAAGUAUGGUGUAUGUAUUUAAAAGUGUAUGCAGCACUGUAUUUCUUAAGGUUAUAUGUUGUCAUCCUAUUGCAGGGGUUCCACACUGUUGUCUCCUAUCACAAAAGUUUCAUACCGUCUUGGUUUUUUUCUCUCGUGGGCUUCUCCUCCAAGCACUGACUCUUUCUUCUUCACAAAGUAGCCAACUGAUUCCAAAUCCUCUCUCAACCACCCAACCCACUUUUAUACCACUCUUUUUCUCACUGGCUACAGCUGUGGCCUGUUAAAGUCAGGCCUGAUCCUAAUCUUUGAUAAUUGGCCCAGCUGCAACUCCUUAGGGGCAAGAUUACUUUCUACACUAUCUUUACUUUCUUGUAUUCUAUCCCCCUGAAGUUAUAACUUGGUUUGACAUUUCACUGAUCUUUUUAUUAGUCUGAACAACAUAAUUAGCAUUUUAUGUUAUUUUAACAAUGUUUGGACAUUCAUAACAUAAUGAAAAUCAAUUCCUUGUAGCAUGGUAGCUGUAUUAUGUAAAAAGGUUUGUUGUUCUUUAUCUGCAUGUAUAAUGAUCACUGGAAGUUUACCUGAGAAAACUUAGAAAAGACAGGAAUGUUAGAAAUGUGCACUGUAAGAUUAAGCUUUUAUGUGAUAAAUACAUUGUAAUCUGGUAGAACAAAGUGAUUCAGGUCAAAUGAGAAACCUUAAAAUCAUGUUUCUUCUUCCUUCAUUGUCACUUUUUAAAAAAAAGGAUAUUUAUUGUAAUGGCAAGUACGUGAAAUGCAGUAGUAACUUUUCAAAUGCUGUCAUUUUUAUGGUUAUAAUUUGUGCUUACCUAAUUUUGUUUUUAUCUUUCGUUGUGCUGAGCAGCACUUUAGCAAUUUUAUAAUGCAACUGUGCAUCCAGUAAUGAUAAUCUGUAUUUCCAAGAUGUGUGUGAAUGACUGUUAAACAUUUCUGUAAAUCACUUGCCUAUUCAUUGUAUUUGCAGUAUACACAAAAAUAAAACACAGCAGUUCUUUCCUCAAAAUUUCUUAUCUUUAACUUACAUCUUAUUUUGCCCUACAGGUUAAAAAAAACCCAAACAGCACACCAAAUGAACAAACAAAAACCAACUCAAACAAAUUACUUUUCUUGAGAAGCUGUAUUUUGUGUGUGUGUGUGUCACAAACAUGGCACAGAAUGAGGAGCAAGGUUUGUUUUCUAUACGGCUUUGUCUUUCAUCACCUGAAAGUUUCGUAUCUCAGAUUUUUAAGUCUUACAAUCACUGAUGGUAUUAUAAAAUAUUGGUAUUAUGUAUUUUGGGUUUCUUUUUGAAUAAGUUUACUUAGCUUAUUUCUUAAAGGGCAAUCCAGUGAAGAGUUGAAGGAGCAUUGGUAAAAUUACAGAACUCCUACCACUCUUUUAUCUUCAGUUUGGGAUCAAGCAUUCAAAACCACACAUCGAUUGAGUGGACAUCACAAACAAAUCUAUCAUGAAGAAACAACAAACCCACAAAUGAAAGAGAAGAGGAGAAGAAAAAAGCCUGAAGAUAAUCCUGCUUGUGUCAACACAAAAGCCACUUGAAAGAAGGAUUCAAUCUAAUUUAAAUGUAGCAUGUAUGAUCUGUAUUAUAUCAAAAUUUGCUAUUUUGUUUCUUAAUUGCAGAAUAUUUGGUAAUCUGGCACAUCUAUUUAUUUGCUGAUUUACUUACAUAUUUUUGUAAGAAAGUUGCUCUUUGAUAGCCUGAACAAAAAUAAAAAUAGCUGCCUCCUACUUGGUUUGUGAUACUACCAGUCUUUGG